GACAGAGGGUGCAAACGUUGUUCGGAAUUACUGGGCGUAAAGCGCGUGUAGGCUGCUUGGAAAGUCGGAUGUGAAAUCCCUGGGCUCAACCCAGGAAGUGCACUCGAAACUUCCAAGCUGGAGUUCUGGAGAGGAAGGCGGAAUUCUCGGUAUAGAGGUGAAAUUCGUAGAUAUCGAGAGGAACACCGGUGGCGAAGGCGGCCUUCUGGACAGUGACUGACGCUGAGACGGCGAAAGCGUGGGAGCAAACAGGG
rnacentral:rRNA from 1 species